GGGUACCAUCGAUCACAUACAUUAAUACGAAGAGUACUAAAAUCUCUUUAGUGAUUCUUCCUCAGAAGGUCUGACUUGAGACUUAAGAAUCUGUACUUUUUGAAUUUAGAAAACUGCUAUGGCCGUAACUGUUUGGAUUUUGCAGUCAGAGGACCUAAGUUUGGAUUUCAGUCUGCAACACACCAGCUGUGGACAAGUAUUUCACUUCACUUUGUUCUGAAGGGGUCUUGUUCCCCAUGUUGGUAAAAGUCCCACAGUGGCCCAGUGGACCAGGUAACUCUGUGGAGCUAUAAGAAUGUUUUUGGGCACUGCCCUCACCUGGAAACAUGAACUGCUGAUGUUGACUUCCUGAAAAAUGCCUGUGACUGCUCUCUGCUCAUGGAUUGGCUGUGAUAAGGAGAGUUUUAU
rnacentral:lncRNA from 1 species